UACGUAGGGGGCUAGCGUUGUCCGGAUUUAUUGGGCGUAAAGCGCGUGUAGGCGGUUGCCCAAGUCGGGUGUGAAAGCCUUGAGCUCAACUCAAGAAAUGCACUCGGUACUGGGUGACUAGAGGACCGGAGAGGAUAGUGGAAUUCCCAGUGUAGUGGUGAAAUACGUAGAGAUUGGGAAGAACACCAGUGGCGAAGGCGGCUAUCUGGACGGUUUCUGACGCUAAGACGCGAAAGCGUGGGGAGCAAACAGG
rnacentral:rRNA from 1 species